GAUGAACGCUGGCGGCGCGCCUAACACAUGCAAGUCGAGCGAACAGAUAAGGAGUUUGCUCCUUAUAAGUUAGCGGCGGACGGGUGAGUAACACGUGGGUAACCUACCUAUUAGACUGGGAUCACUUCGGAACACCGGAGCUAAUACCGGAUUCAAUUUAGCACCGUAUGGUUCUAAAGUGAAAGAUGGUUUUGCUAUCUGUUCUAGAUGGACCCGCGCCGUAUUAGCUGGUUGGUACGUUCUCGGCUUAUCAGGGGGAGCUGACGUAGCCGACCUGAGAGUGGGUACGGCGACACUGGGACUGAGACACGGGCCCGACUCCGACGGGAGGCAGCAGUAGGGACUGUACGGCAAUGGGCGGAAGCCUGACGGAGCGACGACGGGUGAGUGAUGAAGGGUUUCGGGUCGUAAAACGCUGUUAGUGGGGAAGAACGAAUGCGGAAGUAACUGUGCACAACUUGACGGUACCUAAACAGAAAGCCACGGCUAACUACGUG
rnacentral:rRNA from 1 species